rnacentral:rRNA from 1 species
GACGAACGCUGGCGGCGUGCCUAACACAUGCAAGUCGAACGGGACCAGGGGCAACUCUGGUUCAGUGGCGGACGGGUGCGUAACACGUGAGGAACAUGACCUUCGGCGGGGGAGUAGCCGGCCCAACGGCCGGGUAACGUACCGCGUACGACCAUUUGGGGACGAUCCCUGGGUGGUGAAAGCAGCAAUGCGCCGAUGGAGUGCCUCGCGGCCUAUCAGCUAGUUGGUGAGGUAACGGCUCACCAAGGCGACGACGGGUAGCUGGUCUGAGAGGAUGGCCAGCCACAUUGGGACUGAGACACGGCCCAGACUCCUACGGGAGGCAGCAGUGGGGAAUAUUGCGCAAUGGACGAAAGUCUGACGCAGCGACG